rnacentral:rRNA from 1 species
UACGUAGGGGGCGAGCGUUGUCCGGAUUCAUUGGGCGUAAAGCGCGCGUAGGCGGCUCGACAAGUCGGCCGUGAAAUCUCCAGGCUCAACUUGGAGGGGUCGGGCGAGACUGGCAUGCUCGAGUUCGGGAGAGGAUGGUGGAAUUCCCAGUGUAGAGGUGAAAUUCGUAGAUAUUGGGAAGAACACCGAUGGCGAAGGCAGCCAUCUGGACCGACACUGACGCUGAGGCACGAAAGCGUGGGGAGCAAACAGG